UUUGGUACGCGGAGGGACAUUACAGAGAAGACCUUUGCGUCUCGGCUCUGCCAACCCCGCGAACCUAUACCUACAAUACUGCCGUUGCCUCGGCGGGCAGCGCCUCCGGGCGCCCCGCCGCAGGCACGGCGGACCCAAACGCUCAAAAGCUCCGCGCUCUCUGAACAAAAACUUAAACGAGUAAAAACUUUUGGCAACGGAUCUCUUGGCUCUGGCAUCGAUGAAGAACGCAGCGAAAUGCGAUACGUAGUGUGAAUUGCAGAAUUCAGUGAACCAUCGAAUCUUUGAACGCACCUUGCGGCCGCCGGUAAUCCGGCGGCCAUGCCCGUCCGAGCGUCGUUUCGACCCUCGGGACCGCUCCUGCGAGGGAGGUCCGGUCCCGGCCUUGGGCCAGCGCGCAGCCUCCACGGCAGCGCGCGGCCCGUAGACCAGCGGCGGCAGCGCUCGCGGCGUCCUCUGCGCAGUAAUUCAGCUCGCACCGGACCCCUUGCGCGGCCCGCCUCGACUCAAACUUACAACGUCGACCUCGGAUCGGGUAGGGAUACCCGCUAAACUUAAGCAUACAAAA
rnacentral:rRNA from 1 species